AGAGUUUGAUCCUGGCUCAGGAUGAACGCUAGCUACAGGCUUAACACAUGCAAGUCGAGGGGAAACGACAUCGAAAGCUUGCUUUUGAUGGGCGUCGACCGGCGCACGGGUGAGUAACGCGUAUCCAACCUGCCCACCACUUGGGGAUAACCUUGCGAAAGUAAGACUAAUACCCAAUGAUAUCUCUAGAAGACAUCUGAAGGAGAUUAAAGAUUUAUCGGUGAUGGAUGGGGAUGCGUCUGAUUAGCUUGUUGGCGGGGUAACGGCCCACCAAGGCAACGAUCAGUAGGGGUUCUGAGAGGAAGGUCCCCCACAUUGGAACUGAGACACGGUCCAAACUCCUACGGGAGGCAGCAGUGAGGAAUAUUGGUCAAUGGACGAGAGUCUGAACCAGCCAAGUAGCGUGCAGGAUGACGGCCCUAUGGGUUGUAAACUGCUUUUAUAAGGGAAUAAAGUGAGUCUCGUGAGAUUUUUUGCAUGUACCUUAUGAAUAAGGACCGGCUAAUUCCGUGCCAGCAGCCGCGGUAAUACGGAAGGUCCGGGCGUUAUCCGGAUUUAUUGGGUUUAAAGGGAGCGUAGGCCGGAGAUUAAGCGUGUUGUGAAAUGUAGAUGCUCAACAUCUGCACUGCAGCGCGAACUGGUUUCCUUGAGUACGCACAAAGUGGGCGGAAUUCGUGGUGUAGCGGUGAAAUGCUUAGAUAUCACGAAGAACUCCGAUUGCGAAGGCAGCUCACUGGAGCGCAACUGACGCUGAAGCUCGAAAGUGCGGGUAUCGAACAGGAUUAGAUACCCUGGUAGUCCGCACGGUAAACGAUGGAUGCCCGCUGUUGGUCUGAAUAGGUCAGCGGCCAAGCGAAAGCAUUAAGCAUCCCACCUGGGGAGUACGCCGGCAACGGUGAAACUCAAAGGAAUUGAC
rnacentral:rRNA from 1 species